rnacentral:lncRNA from 1 species
UAAAGCACCGGAUCCCAUCAGAACUCCGAAGUUAAGCGUGCUUCAGAGAGAGUAGUACUAGGAUGGGUGACCCCCUGGGAAGUCCUCGUGUUGCACUCCUUUUUGCAUCCCGAGAUACGAAACAUCUCCCGUAGACCUCCGAGACGAUUGUUUUGGGGCUCGAAAUUACUGUGACCGCUACGCAGUAAGUAUCGUGGGGCUCGGAGAGAGCUUUCCGGAUUGGGGUCGCAAUAGCGAUUCCGAGAUCGUUCUAGAAAGUGCCGAUGGUUUCGACGCGCGCUUGCCGUGACCGAUACGCAGUCGUUGGUCUAGGGCUCGGAGAGAGCUUGCAAUAGGGAUUUCGUGAACGUUCGAGAAAGUGCCGACGGUUUCGUGACUGGCAAGAGGCUCCGGACGUUGAUGCGCCGGCCACGACGUGCACAUCGGCGAGGGACGAAGCACGCGAACAGGGUGCGAUAAUGCCAGCACUAAAGCACCGGAUCCCAUCAGAACUCCAAAGUUAAGCGUGCUUUAGAGAGAGUAGUACUAGGAUGGGUGACCCCCUGGGAAGUCCUCGUGUUGCACUCCUUUUUGCGUCCCGAGAUACGAAACAUCUCCCGUAGACCUCCGAGACGAUUGUUUUGGGGCUCGGAAUUUGCCGUGACUGCUACGCAGUCAGAAUCAUGGGGCUCGGAGAGAGCUUUCCGGAUUGGGGUCGCAAUAGCGAUUCCGAGAUCGUUCUAGAAAGUGUCGAUGGUUUCGACGCGCGCUUGCCGUGACCGAUACGCAGUCGUUGGGCUAUGGCUCGGAGAGAGCUUGCAAUAGGGAUUUCGUGAACGUUCGAGAAAGCGCCGAUGGUUUCGUGACGAGCAAGAGGCUCCGGACGUUGAUGCGCCGGCCGCGACGUGCACAUAGGCG